AAAGUACAAACGCAAAAUCUCAACGAAUAUUCCGAAAUUCAACAUUCUACAAAACCGAACAGUGUAUAUCUUUGUAGUAUUUUGUUACAAAAUCAAUACCUCAAAAGGUCUUCAAAAUUUACGGUCACCUUAAACAGAAGAUCAAUGGACAGUACUCUACUUUGGCAAUUUUAGUGGCCAGUAUCGACUUUGGGACAACGUUUUCCAGUUGGGCGUAUUCAUUUAAACAUGACUUUCAACAAGAACCAACAAAGAUUACUGCUAGGACAUGGAAUAGCGGAACAAACAUUUCACAGAAAGCUCCAACCGCUUUGUUAAUUAAGCCCGACGGAAAGACGUUGGACAAGUUUGGAUAUGAAGCAGAAUCAAAGUACGCUGAGCUUGCAGCGGAAGGUGAACAUAAGUCUUGGUACUUCUUCAGACGGUUCAAGAUGCAGCUAUUUAAAAAUAAGGCAGUUCGAAAAGAUCUGAAUAUUGAUGACGAAACAGGCAAACCAUUGGACGCAAUUACGUUGUUUGGAUUGGCUAUUGAGUUCCUCAAAAACGACAUGAUGAAAAAUUCCGGAGAAAAAGUCGUCGGCCAUAUUGAAGAAAACGACAUUAAAUGGGUAAUAACAGUCCCAGCCAUUUGGACAGAGAAAUCGAAACAAUUUAUGCGUGAAGCUGCCAAAAAGGCUGGUAUACCGAAUGAUCGUUUAGUUUUGGCGUUGGAACCCGAGGCAGUGUCAAUAUACUGUCGACAUUUACCUGUCCAGAAAGCAACUGCUGGUUCAACCUCGAUAUCCGCUUUCAAACCUGGAACAUGCUAUCUCAUUUGUGAUGCCGGGGGAGGAACAAUCGAUAUCACAAUUCAUGAGGUACUAUAAGGUUUUAAGUUGCGCGAAGUGGAGAAAGCUAGUGGCGGUGAUUGGGGUGGUACCAAAGUGGAUCAAGCGUUUGAAAAGCUGUUGGCAGAACUAGCAGGUGAGGGCGUGUUUUCUGAUUGGACAGGGAAUCACACAGACGACUAUCUUGAACUAAUGAGAAGGUUUGAAAUAAAAAAGCGGGCUUUAUCCAAAGAAACAUCAAAAGUCGUUUUAAGUUUACCCAUGAGCUUGAACGAAAUUGUGAAAUUGAAAAGACGUAUGACUUUAAAAGAAGCCAUUAAAAAAUCUAAAUAUGCAAAGGACAUUGUGCAAGAGAUGGACAAAUUGAAGGUCGAUGCUAAAAUAAUGCGAUCCCUUUUUGCUGAAUCAAUAGAUAAGGCUGUUACUCAUGUUAGAAAACUUCUACACACUUACAGUCAGGUGAGCCACAUCCUUCUUGCUGGCGGCUUCUCUGAAUCUCAGUUAUUUCAAGAUGCGAUGCAGCACAGCUUUCCUGGGAAAACGCUGAUAGUUCCUUCUGAUGCUGGUCUGGCUGUUCUUAAAGGCGCAGUUAUACAUGGACAUAACACGACGAUGAUAAGCUCGCGAAAAGCAAAGUUCGCCUACGGUGUGGGAUUCUAUGCAAAAUAUGAUCCAACACUACAUACCCCAGGACGUCAUAUCAAAAUAGGCAAACAUAAGGGUUAUGUUGCAGGAUGCUUUGAUACACUAAUAGAAAUGGAUAAAGAUCUGCAACAAGACAGUAUUUCCGCAAUAAAAUGCUACGAGCCUUUUCCGGGCGACCUGAAUGUAAUUGUAGAAUUGUUUUGUUGUGACAACAAUAGCCCCACGUAUGUUGAUGAACCAGGUUGUUUUAAGUUAGGUAAAGUAACCGUGGAUUGUCCUGCUAGGGAUGACUUGGUUACAGUCUCGCUGUUUCUUGGAGGAACAGAAUUAAAAGUGUCUGCGGUUAAUUCUGUAGGAAAGGCGGUUUCUGCUACAUUUGAUUUACCAGAUUGAAUUAAAUCGGUUUAUUUGUGUCGAUGAGCGGAUAAAGUACGUACAACGGAAGGAUAUUAAGACACUUAGUUGACAUCUGUUAAAGCAUUUGCAUUGGUGUCUGCCAUCUAAACUUCUGAAACUUUUGUUGUAUACAAAGUAUAACAGACAAUAUGGUUUUAGAAAAGACAACAUUGCACAAUAUUUUAUAUUGCCUUAUCGUGAAUCGAGUGUUCACAUAUUCUGUAGGGACUUAAUAGUUUAUAUCAUAUACACAGUGCGAACUCAAUUAUUCUUUAGACUGUAUACAGCGUUUAAGUUUAUAUUGACAUCUACAAUUCUAACACGACGCGCGCAAAAUAUGCAAACAAAAAAGGUAUAAAAUCGUUGGUCAUUCUGCAAUAAUAAAGGGCGUAGAUAAGAAAUUCCAAGUACGUGCUCAAAUUAACAACUGAGAGAAACAUGUACAAGGAUUAAAUUAGAGACAGUUUUUCAAAUUUAACUUAAGGCUUAUUUGAAAGCUGUACUGUUAAAUCGUGGCAGCGUAAUGGUUUGCUAAACGAAUAUUUUUUGCCAGCGUUGAUAUAUUAGCGUCUUUUGAAAUGUAUGUAGUAUUUUAAUGAUUUUUUUUUAAAUUUGAUUUGCUACCCACAGAAAUGCACGGAGGACGUUCGGAUUAAUUAAUCAUUAAAAUGUUUACACAAACGAUGUAAACUAUGAUGAAGAAUUUAUGUCGAAAUUAUGUCGCUGUAUGUCGAAUUAACAUAUUGCGGUAUUUAACAAACGACUGGAAAAAUAUUGCACCAACAGUAUCACGCGAUCCAAAAAGGGUGCUGCACUGUAGAUGCAAUGUUCUUCAUUCAUUAAUCGAUAAACGUGUUUAAUAUUAUAUACGUCGAUUUGAUGAAAAAAACUUUGGUUUCAUACUAAGAAAUGCACAUCGGUUGACAUUAUAUAGUCAGUAUCGACGGGAAAGUAAUAAUAAUUAUUAGAGAUAUGUAUGAAAAAGUUACAUCAUAUGUAAAUUCAAGUUUUUACUAUUCAGAUUGUUUUAAUUACGUAGUUGGAUUAAGUCAAAGGAAUGGUAUGUCGCCUGUGGUGUUUUUCACUAUUUGAUGAAGAAAUAAAACGAAAUACAGUCUUGUUUGAAUAUUGAUGUUAUUGUGCUAAUAUUGUUGUUUUUGCGGAUGAUAUGGCUUUUAGGUAAAAUCACAGAAAAAAUACACACUCAUUUAGAUUGCUUAAAUAUAAUAAUGUUGCGGUUAGACAGUUAAUACUUCUAAAACUAAGAUUAUUGUAAACUUGGAGAGUACCUUCCACGGAAUCUUGGACUCACAACAGCACACCCAUCGAAGUUGUAAAUAACUUUAAUUAUUUAGAUUGUGUUUAUGUUAUAAUGGUAAUUUCAGAACACAAUUACAGGUAAAUCGCAACAAGCUUACAUAUAUUGUUCUGGAAGUGUAGUCAUUUUGAGUGUAAACCUAAAUUCAUUUGUCAGUUGUUUGAUGUGUUUGUGUCGACCUAUCUUGAUAUUUCUUGUUAAGUUUGGGGAUAUAAACAGUCAAAAGGAAAUCGAAUGAAUUCAUUUUAGUAUUGCUUUGCAUUGACCGGUGACCCCAUCUUUAUUCUUAUAUGUCUUUAUAUUGCUUUGUAUUGUGCUGUUUUGUACUGUUUUUGCCAUUGGUAACUUGCCUUAAAUAAAGGACCAACUAAUUGUAUAUAAUGAGAAUGCAAUACUGCUCCAGCAGCUGGAGUUUCACUUCUUUAUAUUGUAAACGUGUAUUGUUUGUAUUCACAAAAAUAAAUGCGUUGUUAUGAAUUAUGUACUAUACAUAUGUUCCAUGAAUUGUCCACGCGUUUCUUGGUUGUAAUUAAUUGUAAAUAAAAACUGGAAUCUA